UACGUAGGGGGGCAAGCGUUGUCCGGAUUCAUUGGGCGUAAAGAGCGUGUAGGCGGCCAGGUAGGUCGGUUGUGAAAACUGGAGGCUCAACCUUCAGAGGUCGACCGAAACCAUCUGGCUAGAGUCCGGGAGAGGAGAGUGGAAUUCCUGGUGUAGCGGUGAAAUGCGCAGAUAUCAGGAAGAACACCCGUGGCGAAAGCGGCUCUCUGGAACGGUACUGACGCUGAGACGCGAAAAGCGUGGGGGAGCGAACAGG
rnacentral:rRNA from 1 species